rnacentral:rRNA from 1 species
GGUUAAGUGACUAAGCGUACACGGUGGAUGCCUGGGCAGUCAGAGGCGAUGAAGGACGUACUAACUUGCGAUAAGCGCAGAUAAGGCAGUAAGAGCCGUUUGAGUCUGCGAUUUCCGAAUGGGGAAACCCAACUGCAUAAGCAGUUACUGUUAACUGAAUACAUAGGUUAACAGAGCAAACCGGGGGAACUGAAACAUCUAAGUACCCCGAGGAGAAGAAAUCAACCGAGAUUCCGGUAGUAGCGGCGAGCGAACCUGGAUUAGCCCUUAAGCACUCGGUGAAGUAGGUGAACAAGCUGGAAAGCUUGGCGAUACAGGGUGAUAGCCCCGUAACCGACGCUUCAUCGAGCGUGAAAUCGAGUAGGGCGGGACACGUGAUAUCCUGUCUGAAUAUGGGGGGACCAUCCUCCAAGGCUAAAUACUCCUGACUGACCGAUAGUGAACCAGUACCGUGAGGGAAAGGCGAAAAGAACCCCUGUGAGGGGAGUGAAAUAGAACCUGAAACCGUGUACGUACAAGCAGUAGGAGCACCUUCGUGGUGUGACUGCGUACCUUUUGUAUAAUGGGUCAGCGACUUAUAUUCAGUGGCAAGGUUAACCGUAUAGGGGAGCCGUAGCGAAAGCGAGUCUUAACUGGGCGCUCAGUCUCUGGAUAUAGACCCGAAACCGGGUGAUCUAGCCAUGGGCAGGUUGAAGGUUGAGUAACAUCAACUGGAGGACCGAACCGACUAAUGUUGAAAAAUUAGCGGAUGACUUGUGGCUAGGGGUGAAAGGCCAAUCAAACUCGGAGAUAGCUGGUUCUCCCCGAAAGCUAUUUAGGUAGCGCCUCGGACGAAUACUACUGGGGGUAGAGCACUGUUAAGGCUAGGGGGUCAUCCCGACUUACCAACCCUUUGCAAACUCCGAAUACCAGUAAGUACUAUCCGGGAGACACACGGCGGGUGCUAACGUCCGUCGUGGAGAGGGAAACAACCCAGACCGCCAGCUAAGGUCCCAAAGUAUUGCUAAGUGGGAAACGAUGUGGGAAGGCUCAGACAGCUAGGAUGUUGGCUUAGAAGCAGCCAUCAUUUAAAGAAAGCGUAAUAGCUCACUAGUCGAGUCGGCCUGCGCGGAAGAUGUAACGGGGCUAAGCAAUACACCGAAGCUGCGGCAAUAUCUUUUAGAUAUUGGGUAGGGGAGCGUUCUGUAAGCCGUUGAAGGUGAAUCGUAAGGUUUGCUGGAGGUAUCAGAAGUGCGAAUGCUGACAUGAGUAACGACAAAGGGGGUGAAAAACCUCCUCGCCGGAAGACCAAGGGUUCCUGUCCAACGUUAAUCGGGGCAGGGUGAGUCGACCCCUAAGGUGAGGCCGAAAGGCGUAAUCGAUGGGAAACGGGUUAAUAUUCCCGUACUUCUGACUAUUGCGAUGGGGGGACGGAGAAGGCUAGGUGGGCCAGGCGACGGUUGUCCUG